UACGUAGGGGGCGAGCGUUGUCCGGAGUUACUGGGCGUAAAGGGUGCGCAGGCGGCGGUUCGCGUGGCGAGAUGAAAUCUCCUGGCUUACCUGGGAGAGUGGUCGCCAGACGGGAUCGCUUGAGGGUCGGAGAGGGGCGUGGAAUUCCGGGUGGAGCGGUGAAAUUCGUAGAUAUUCGGAAGAACACCAGUGGCGAAGGCGACUCACUGGACAUGUAUUGACGCUGAGGUGCGAAAGCGUGGGGAGCAAACAGG
rnacentral:rRNA from 1 species